rnacentral:rRNA from 1 species
AUGCGAGGUGCCCUGUGCCUGGCAGAGUCCAAACGAAAAGGAGAGCAAAAUGUUUGGCUAUAUGGAUGCCCAACUAUUUUGCAGAUACACUACUUCAACUCGGUUGAUACCGGUUAUCUCACCAUCGAUACAACAAAGCAAGCCGCGGUUAAGCUGUAUUCAACUUCUGUAGUGAGAACUUUCAUCGAAGCAGAUACCUUCGAAGAGGAUGGCCAGGUCAAGUAUGGAGGCUUGAAGGGCAAUGUUGCUUGUUCUGGAAAAGCUAUAGCUGCCGGUUGUAUACACUAUGAGACACUAUUAUACCUAAAAGGAAAGUUGAGAAUGUCUAUGUUAAAGGCAGAUUCAGUAUGUCAUGAGUUCAACGGGCUCAUGUCCAAGGAUCAUUCAAAUGAUGUUGGCAUGAUAAAGAGACGGAUAGAAGAGCAUGAUAUGGCACAGACUCUAUCGAGGCUUCAUGAAUGGAAAGAUAAUGACGCCAAAAUUGAAUCAGCCUUAAAAGGUAAAUGUGGAUGGAGCCCAGAUAUGCCACCACGCAUAUUAGAAGGUGUGGUUGUUAGUACAGAAGACUGUAAUGAUAUUGAAAAUUGGGAAAGGAAGAAAGUUGCAACAGGAUCUGCAAGUACAGAUGAGGACCAUGAUAUCAAAACAGUAGCAGAGGCACUUGCUGGGAUGAAAGCAGGUUUGUUUGGUGCUGGGUUAAGUGGGGCAUGUGGCUCUAGGCAAGGUACAUGCACACGUACAGCUGCAGUCAAUUCAACAAAGCAGACAUUGAUGGUACAACAAGCUAGUUCACUUACUGGAGAAAUAAACAAGGGCGGUACACUUGAAGGAGAUGGCGGAAAACAAAAACCAGGAGGUAAUAAUUUAAGUGAAGAGAGCAUUACAGCUGUUGCAGAUGCAGAUAUUGGGAAGAAGAGGUCAAUCUCUCAAAUAAAUCGACUGAUUGAAGUUUGUAAACGGCAACGUAUCGCCGCGAAGAUGGAUGUUCCAAUCAUAUCAAAUGGACUUAGCAAUGGUGGGUUAGGAGGACCUGGCGCCUACUUUUUAAGCAGUAGGAAAGUACUGAAGGAUUCUAUAGAGCAGCUGGAGAAUACAAAGGGAAUGGAACUAAGGAGGAUCUGGAUUGAGCAUCCUAUACCUGUUGUGCUGCAAAUUACUGGAACUGAGAUAUAUGCAAUGAUGAAACCUGGAGGAGAAGUUGGUGCAAGACAAUUUGAUAUUUUCCGUAGGCUUGUGUAUUGUCAGGAUAAGAAGUUAUAUGCUCCUAGGUCAAUUUUGAGGCUGAGGAAGGUUCUUCAUCUAAGCUGGGCGGAGAGAGUGCUUAAUGGUGCAGCCGUAUAG